ACUUAAGUAGUUUAAAUAAAAUAUCGAUUUGUGGUGUCGAUGAAAUAUCUUGUAUAUCUUGGGUU
rnacentral:tRNA from 1 species